UACGUAGGUGGCAAGCGUUGUCCGGAUUUACUGGGCGUAAAGCGCGCGUAGGUGGCUUGGCAAGUCUGUGGUGAAAUCUCUCGGCUUAACCGAGAGGGGUCUAUGGAUACUGCCAGGCUUGAGUGUCGUAGAGGAAGGCGGAAUUCCCGGUGUAGUGGUGAAAUGCGUAGAUAUCGGGAGGAACACCAGUGGCGAAAGCGGCCUUCCAGACGAUAACUGACGCUGAGGCGCGAAAGCGUGGGGAGCGAACCGG
rnacentral:rRNA from 1 species